UAGCCAUGACUUACUUCACAAUAAUUUUGUUAUUUCUAUCAUCCGCUGAAUCCUCAGUUCUUAUUAAUAUUGAAGUCAGAUGAUGUUACUCCUCUCUUAAAGUCAUCCAAUGGAUCUCUAUUAACUCUCUGACUUUAUGCCCUACUCAUUUUUGUUUCUCUUUCUCUGCUUGAGCACAGUAACCUUUCUAUGGGUACUCAAACCUGCCAGGCUAUUUAUUCCUUUUUUUAUUAUUAGUUGUUCAAAACAUUACAUAGCUCUUGACAUAUCAUAUUUCAUACAUUUGAUUCAAGUGGGUUAUGAACUCCCAUUUUUCCCCCAUACACAGAUUGCAGAAUCACAUCGGUUAUACAUCCACUUUUUUACAUACUGCCAUAGUAGUGUAUGUUGUAUUCUGCUGCCCUUCCUAUCCUCUACUAUCCCCCCCUCCCCUUCCCUCCCCUCCCAUCUUCUCACUCUACCCCAUCUACUGUAGUUCAUUUCUCUCCCUUGUUUUUUUCCCUUUCCC
rnacentral:lncRNA from 1 species